UAGAGCAUCACAAAAUGGAAUAUUUACUUAUAACACUGUGAGCAUCUCUAUGAACUUUUUAAACUUCCCCACUUUCAUCUCCCUCUUAGGUUUAUUCUUAAUAAAAGGGUAACAUGGCUUGAUAUAAUCGAGUAAGCCAGAGGUUGGUUCAUUGAUGAUUUGUUUUUUCUCCUAAAAGGUGAAUCUUUAUCAAUAAAUUCGUCAAGUGUAUCUCCCCCACAAUAGUUUCGCUCGAAACUUCAUCCUCUGUAGGUUUGGUUUUUG
rnacentral:lncRNA from 1 species